rnacentral:lncRNA from 1 species
GCUCAACUACACUAACUAACGGACCUAAUUAAUUAAAAGACUAAAGGGAAUCUCGAAUUUAUUAAAAAGCUAAUGCCUAAAUUCAAUUAUAAAUCGUCUAAUUACAAUUACAAAACUACCCCAAACGCUCCGAAUAAAACUCGAGCCAGCAACAAAUUUAAAUGGAAACAACCAUAUUGAAAAGCAAAGGGUCAUAUAUGAUAAACACAGCAAAUGGUCCAAUCCUCAAAAGCCUCCAGACUUGGCCUCAAGUGAACCCAAAUUGAUGAAACGACCAGUUUCUCAUGAGGGGUGUAAUGGACUUGAUUAUUAUUCAGCAAAGGCCAAGGUUUGACCCAGCUCUUGUGAUCCAAAAUCGUUCACACCCAAACUCGAUACUACAAAUACAAUUGAUGGUAACACAAAAGCAUGAGAUACAACUGACAAGUUUAAACUAUGAUUUAAAUCAUUUGACAUAAAUUAACUAAAAUAAAGUUUCAAUUUCAUUUUGAAUCGGAUCUGCUAUGUGAAAUGCUCAUCAACGGCAAUACCAAACUAUUGGGCUUAACAGACAAGCCCAAUAUAUUCACCGCGCCAUCCUCUCUUGUAAAUGGACCACAAAUCUAAGUCUCCAUGGACCAAAGACUUGCAAAACCAAAUUAGAGCUCUUUACUCAAGGUUGAGUCCUAUCCAACACAAAAAAAAACCCAACGAGCUAUUAACUCACCAAACAUUUCUACACCAAGUGCAUUGAUAACAAGCCAGAGGUUCAUGCUUGCAUUUUAGUUUCUAAACUAAUCUUGCACACAAACAUAUGAAAUUGAAGCUCACUUAGACUAUUCGAAUGGCAGUUUUAACUAGGUAAAAUACUCCAAAGCUUUCCAAAUUGCAAAAUAGGACCCUAAACAACACUUCAUCAUGACAAUUCAUGACUUCAAACUAUGGGAACAGUAAACUGACACACUCAAGCAGUCUUCCACUACAACCUGUUUAACAAUCCGUUUAUACAAUAAAUUUCAUUCAUUAUUGCAAUGCCAAUAUUCUGAAUUUAAGCACCUAUUCUAAAUAACCAACCAGCCUUAAGCCACUAACAUGGAUAACCAAACCAACACACGCAAGAAAGUUAAAUUACUACAAAACUGGAGGAAUUUAAUGUCCUAAGAUAGCACAAUCUAGCAGCAAACACAGCAACAACUAGUGUUUCCUUUUAAAUUGCAACUCAAUUUCUCAGAUCUUUACACAGAUUCAGUCAGGUUCCAACUUGUAGCACAUCAUUUUUUGAUAAUGGUUUGGAAAGAUACCAGAAUGCAAGAGGAAAGCAAAAGAAAUAAGGAUUCAAUAAACAGAAACAGUAUAACAGAAUCCCAGUAGUACCAAUGAAAUAGUAGAAAACCCUUCAACAGCUCAACACCCAACUUUCAAACCAGAGAUUUCAGCUAGUGAAAAAGGAUGAGAAAAUCAGCACUACACAGGAUUUUUGAGUACUUUUCACCAAGAAAACGCAAAGAAAUCAAUGUUCUUUCCAAAGUUUCCACAGUUUCAUUUUUUCUUUAUUUUGCAAAAAUUUUCUCUUGAUUUUUUCUCUGCCUUGGGAUAGAAGGUAAGGUGCCUUUAUAGGCAAGCCUUUAGGGCAGCAAAAAUGUAUUCAGCUUUACACUCUUGUCCUUUUCAAUUUUUAUUUUUGCUUAAGACUCCUCAAUGUAAAAAUUAGGUUUUCAUUUAGGUCCCCUUGACAGCUUCUGGGAAGCUUCCUAAUCAGUUAUUCAGAGAUUCUCCUACCUAGAUUCCCAAUUUAUCCCCUAAGCACCCUGUUUUUACUUCAGAAAAUCUGACCAAAACAUGGGUCAAGUUGACCCAAUUUAUUUAGCGGGCCUGGGUUUACAAAUUCUGGCUGAACCUUUUCUUUUGAGCCAAAAUUCGACUCGGGGUUGCAUACGAAUUUCGAAGAAAAGUGGAGGAAGGGGACACAACAGAGUCACAGACUCUUUGGCCUAAAAGAUUCAAAGGCUUAAAUAGAAAGGGCAAGCCAAACAAACUAAUAUUCAAUCCAGAAACACCAAUUAACAGAAAACGAAAAUCAUGCAAAAAGAUGGAAGUAUCGGAGAUACAGAGAAGAAAAGGUAAAUCAAAACACACACAAAAGAAACAAAACAAGAUGAUAAAGAAACUCACAUGAAAGUUAAAACUCAGAAGUUAAAGACCAAAUACCUAAAAAUAGCCCGGACCGAUAGAAAUGAAAGAAGAACUUCGAAUCUUCAAAAUUUUCCUGUCAAGUUUGAUAUUAAUCAUGUGUUCUAAUCAAGAACACAUGAAUAACGUCGAACUAAACCCAGACCUUACUGAAAUCUUGAGUUUGCAUUUUUUGGAUAUUUAGGGCUUGAAUUAAAUUCAAGAUUCGACGACUUAGCUACGACUCGAGGGUAAAGAGUUAUGGAUUUUGUACGAGGGGGUCGUGGGGGUUUCAGGGUGUUAAUUUGGGGUCGUUUUGUGGUGGCGCGGCCACCAGAGGACGGUGGCAUUAAGGGGCAGCGCUAGGUUUGUGUAUGAGAAAGGUAGGAGAGAUGAACGGAAAGGGGGAGGGGCCUGUUUGGACUAAUUGGUCUCUAAG